rnacentral:sRNA from 1 species
UACUAAAUAAUAAAUGCAAACAAUGUUUUCUCUUCCACGCUAUGCACUUGGCGGCGCAUGCAUUAC